UACGGAGGGUGCGAGCGUUGUCCGGAAUCACUGGGCGUAAAGGGCGCGUAGGCGGCUCGAUAAGGCUGUGGUGAAAGCCCGGGGCUCAACCCGGGUCGGCCGUGGCGACUGUUGGGCUGGAGCACUGUAGGAGGCGGGCGGAAUUCCGGGUGUAGCGGUGGAAUGCGUAGAGAUCCGGAAGAACACCGGUGGCGAAGGCGGCCCGCUGGGCAGGAAGG
rnacentral:rRNA from 1 species